AUACUCUAGCUAUCUGAAAUCAAUUAUCAAACUAUAAAAUACCAAGGCUUACUACUUCCAUCUUAAUUCAAUCGAUAAUCCAUUCUACGAUUAUCAAUUCAAGAAUACUUCUCUCAAUCACAAUUCUUCAUAAGCAAAUAAUAAAGAAAACAAAGAGGUAGCACUAAGCUUAUCCUGGCUUACGACUAUCACAGUCUAGCUCUCGGCUUACGACUCUCACAGUCUGGCUCUCGGCUUAUGAUUCUCAGUGUGGCUCUCGGCUUACGACUCUCA
rnacentral:lncRNA from 1 species